GUGCGUGUAGCUCAGUUGGAUAGAGCGUCUGGCUACGGACCAGAAGGUCGUGGGUUCGAAUCCUGUCAC
rnacentral:tRNA from 1 species